CGGCCUUAUUAUGUUGAAACACCGCUUCUCGUACGAUCACCGAAGUUAAGCAACGUCGAACCUGGUCAGUACCUACAUGGGUAACCGCUUCGGAAUAUCAGCUGCUGUAAG